rnacentral:rRNA from 1 species
AGGGUUUGAUUCUGGCUCAGGAUGAACGCUGGCGGCGUGCUUAACACAUGCAAGUCGAACGAAGCAUUUGCGACAGAUUUCUUCGGAUUGAAGUUGCUUAUGACUGAGUGGCGGACGGGUGAGUAACGCGUGGGUAACCUGCCUCACACAGGGGGAUAGCAGUUGGAAACGGCUGAUAAUACCGCAUAAGCGCACAGUACCGCAUGGUACAGUGUGAAAAACUCCGGUGGUGUGAGAUGGACCCGCGUCUGAUUAGCUUGUUGGCAGGGUAACGGCCUACCAAGGCAACGAUCAGUAGCCGACCUGAGAGGGUGACCGGCCACAUUGGGACUGAGACACGGCCCAG